UACGCAGGGGGCUAGCGUUGUUCGGAUUUACUGGGCGUAAAGCGCACGUAGGCGGGUCGUUAAGUCAGGGGUGAAAUCCCGGAGCUCAACUCCGGAACUGCCUUUGAUACUGGCGACCUUGAGGCUGGAAGAGGUUAGUGGAAUUCCCAGUGUAGAGGUGAAAUUCGUAGAUAUUGGGAAGAACACCAGUGGCGAAGGCGGCUAACUGGUCCAGAUCUGACGCUGAGGUGCGAAAGCGUGGGGAGCAAACAGG
rnacentral:rRNA from 1 species